CAGGAUCUCCGCGAGGAGGUCGGCGUUGUCGUUGAUGUUGUAACAGUUGCCGCCGCCGCCGCCGAGCAGCUGCAUCCGCAGCUCCAGCUCCGUCACGACCACCACCUCCUGCCGCCGCGGCACUGGCCGCCCACCCAUACACGCACGGCCGUGCCGGCGCCGGUGCCUCGAGGGUAGUGCACCGCACUGCACGCGGCCUUCGUGGAGGAGAAAGAAAGAGGCCGGCGCCCGGGACGGAAGUCAAGUGAGAGGUGAGAGCGAGACGGGUGGAGAGCGUAUAUAUAGCGAGUAGCUAGCUGGGGUUUUGACUCUUGCUCAUUAUGCUCUCGUGGGGGCACGCCAAAAGGCGAUUAAAAGAGUUCUUGGAAACCCAAUGGCAGUCGCCAUAGAAGCAACAAGCUCAGUGUGUGUGAGAGAGUGCUAAUUACUCUCCUCUGUCAGCCAGCCACUCACGUUAACAACCGUAGAAGUAAAGAAACCGAUCGAGGCAGGUGAGAGGGCGAGAGAGAUUGGAGUCUUGGAGAGGGUAUCCGGUGCUGCGAG
rnacentral:lncRNA from 1 species